rnacentral:rRNA from 1 species
CGUAGGGUCCAAGCGUUAUCCGGAAUCACUGGGCGUAAAGCGUACGUAGGCGGCGCGUUAAGUGAGAUGCGAAAUCUGGUGGCUCAACCAUCUAGACUGUAUCUCAUACUGGCGUGCUGGAGGUCGGCAGAGGCAAGUGGAAUUACCGGUGUAGCAGUGAAAUGCGUAGAUAUCGGUAGGAACACCAAUGGCGAAGGCAGCUUGCUGGGCCGCACCUGACGCUGAGGUACGAAAGCGUGGGGAGCGAACAGGAUUAGAUACCCUGGUAGUCCACGCCGUAAACGAUGGAUGCUAGUAGUGUGAAGUAUCGACCCUUUGCGUUGCGAAGCUAACGCGUUAAGCAUCCCGCCUGGGGAGUACGGCCGCAAGGCUA